UACAGGGGGCUCGAGCGUUAGUCGGAAUCACUGGGCUUAAAGGGUGCGUAGGCGGCCCGCCAAGUGCUUUGUGAAAUCCCCGAGCUCAACUCGGGAACUGCAGGGCAAACUGGUGGGCUUGAAGCAGGUAGGGGCUGGAGGAACAGUUGGUGGAGCGGUGAAAUGCGUAGAUAUCGGAAGGAACGCCGGUGGCGAAAGCGGCGUGCUGGACCUCUUCUGACGCUGAGGCGCGAAAGCCAGGGGAGCGAACGGG
rnacentral:rRNA from 1 species